AUACGUAGGUGGCAAGCGUUGUCCGGAAUUAUUGGGCGUAAAGCGCAUGUAGGCGGUUUGGUAAGUCGGUCGUGAAAAUGCGGGGCUUAACGCCGUAUGGCGAUUGAAACUGCUGAAAUUGAGUGCAGGAGAGGAAAGGGGAACUCCCAGUGUAGCGGUGAAAUGCGUAGAUAUUGGGAAGAACACCGGUGGCGAAGGCGCCUUUCUGGACUGUGUCUGACGCUCAGAUGCGAAAGCCAGGGUAGCGAACGGGAUUAGAUACCCCGGUAGUCCUGGCCGUAAACGAUGGGUACUAGGUGUGGGAGGUAUCGACUCCUUCCGUGCCGGAGUUAACGCAAUAAGUACCCCGCCUGGGGAGUACGGCCGCAAGGCUUAAACUCAAAUGAAUUGACGGGG
rnacentral:rRNA from 1 species